AAGCAGGGCAUGGGCUGGUUUGCACCUGGAUGGGUAAAUCCGGCUCAGUCUCUCCUCACUGAGAGGAUGGAAACCCACCCACUGGCCACACAGAACACAAGCACAGGCACCGCCUUCCUCCAGGUAGCUGCACCUGACGCACGGCAAUUGCACCAUUUUGAUGUGAUCCUUAGCUGCCCACGCCCGUGUGUUCUGGCCAUUUCCCCUGGUGAUUCAUUUCUUCACUCAGCUCAUCUCACUAAGAUUGAGUUUACCUUGUGCCAGGUAUGACGGGAGGUAAUGGUGACAGAGCAGUGGCAGAAAUGGACGUAAGUCCCUGCCGCAAUGCAGGGUGCAGCGGAUGGUGUUUCUGAGAAUGCAGCACUGAAGUUUUGGGCUAAAAAGCCAAGUGGGCUUCUAAGCUAGGGCAUUAGCACUGUAGGCAAAGAAAAGGCAAACGUAAAGGUGCCAAAUCAGGAGCAGGCCUGACCGCUCAGGAGUGGAGGGAAGCCACCACGGUCGCCUGGGGGACAGAACCAAGAGGAGCAGAGGCCAUACUCGGGGACGAUCAAAAACAGCCAUGGGUGUGGGGGGCCUCUGGCUCUCCGUCUGAGGGAGGCAGGGAGCCACGGGAGGGCUCUGAGCACAGAACUGACCCAACCUGCCUUGUGGAGGGUUUUGUUUCUGUUUCUUUUUACUUGUUUAUUUCAUUGUGGAAAUUUGUUUUUCCAAUCCGCCAAACCAUAGCUAAUAACAUCCACUUGUUUGUGAUUAUGAAUAAUGGCGAUGAUGUGAGAGACACGCUCAGGACUUCAGAGCACAGGGGCACCACCAAGGGCUUGGCGCUCAGAGGAGCGCCUGUCGUUCUGUUGUUUGUGAUCACAUAAUGAGGCGUUGCUGUGGACAACGGUGUACUUGCAUGUUAGCAGGGUCCCUGUGGCAGGAGCAGCCUGGAGAGACCAGCAAGGAGGCCACAGCCAUUAUCCAGGCAAGAGACAGGGUCUCACUAUGCAGUCCAGCCUGGCCUCAAACUACUGCAGAUCCUCCUGCCUCAGCCUCCCAAGUGCUGGGAUUACAGAUGUGUGCAACCACACCCAGCUUCUAACUCCAAAUACUCCUCACAGACAACCCUAGAUCAAGAAGACAGAUUACUGUGAAAGCUGACUACAGCACAGCAAAUAAAAUAACCAUGGAAUGAA